GAAAGAAUCUUUUUCGAUACUAUAAACCUCUCUUAAGAAGUCUAGAAUGUUGCCUUAAAGACAUGACACUUAAUUCACUCAAUAAGCAUUUAUAUAUUGUCUAUUAUGUCCACGUCAUUUACCCACUUUUCUAAGAUAUUGCAAGAUAAAAGGAAGGAUUCUAUUCAAUAUUUUAUUUUUAAAUGGGGCAAAGAAUUUUAAAAUGGGAAAGUCUUUAAAAUUUCAGUUUAGUGCAACUCAAUGAACAUUCAUUAAACUUCUAUCAUAUGUAAGCCAAUGUACUAGCUAUGAGAAAUAAAAAAUAAAUACCCCCCUAAAAAUAUUUUCCCUAAAGGAGAUUAUAUCCAUCACACUUGCAAAUCAAAACUAGAAGCCAAGGAUAGGAAGGAGCCUUGGAAUACAGAAUAGAGAAUAUGAAAAUUGAAAUACGCAUUGAUAAUCUUGUAAAAGCAGUGAAGAAACUGAGGCUCAGUGAAAAGAAAUAACCUGUUCAAAGUCAAUUGUCCAUGUGUGUGUUUGGGGCAAGGUUCAGGGUCAGAGGAUGUUGGAUAGAGGGAGCUAUACUCUGUUGUUGUUGUUUAAUUAUUUUCAGUUGUGUCUGACUCUUCAUGAUCCCAUUUGGGGUUUUCUUGGCAAAGACACUGAAAUAUUUUGUCAUUUCCUUCUUCUCUUCCUUUGAUAGAUGAGAAAACUGAGACAAACAAUGAAGUGACUUGCCCAGGGCCACAGAGCUAGUGUCUGACACCAGAUUUAAAAUCAGGUCUUCCUGACUCCAAUCCUGUUACUCCAUCAAUUGUAUCACCUAGGAACUCUCCUAGGUACAAAUAACUUCUGGCAAAGGAUUGAUUGACCUCAAGACCCAGCUUGGAAAGAGAAGAAACUACCUCAAAAGUCAAUCUCAGAUGGGAUGACAAGGGGUUUUUCCCAUGCAGAAUACAAUGGAAGAAUGGAAGAAGUCAUAGGAGAGGAAAAAAAGGGGGAAAGGAAAGAGGUGGCAGUGACCUCUGACAGCAGAGCAUUUGGGAUCCUUGAAUUCAGUGCUCCUGAGAAAUUGUUUCUAUAUCUGACCAUUUAGAUUUAGACUUGGGAUCUCCAUUUCUUUCCUCAGGACAAGGUUUUCCUUCAGACACGGAGACCUACAGACCUUCAGUGGGGCAUUUUAUAUUAUCCUAUCUAUCUAACUAUAAUAAAAGAGAAGCUAAAAUAGUGUCUUGAAUAAUU
rnacentral:lncRNA from 1 species